GAUGAAGAACGUAGCGAAAUGCGAUAAGUAAUGUGAAUUGCAGAAUUCAGUGAAUCAUCGAAUCUUUGAACGCACAUUGCGCCCGCUAGUAUUCUGGCGGGCAUGCCUGUCCGAGCGUCAUUUCAACCCUCAAGCCCCUGGGCUUGGUGUUGGGGAUCGGCGAGCCUCCGCGCCCGCCGUCCCCUAAAUCUAGUGGCGGUCUCGCUGUAGCUUCCUCUGCGUAGUAGCACACCUCGCACUGGGAAACAGCGCGGCCACGCCGUUAAACCCCCAACUUCUGAACGUUUGACCUCGGAUCAGGUAGGAAUACCCGCUGAACUUAAGCAUAUCAAGCGGAGGA
rnacentral:misc_RNA from 1 species